AAUGCUCAUAAUUUCCCUCUAGACUUAGCCGCYAUUGAGGCUCCAUCUACAAAGGAUAAGAUUUUGAUCUUUGUGUAGACGAGUUUUUGAAAAUAACGGAGCAAUGCCGWUCCUCUUCCAAGAAAUUGGUAUUGCUCCGUUAUUUAUUAUUUAUUAGGAUUUUUCAAUUUUUUAUUUACUUUAUUUACGUUUUUUGUUACUUCAACAAAACAAAAAGCAGUUUUUUAACAAAUAACAAAACACUUUCUGUUUUUGUGCUUUUUUAUUUAGGAUCAUAUUAUUACUAUGUGUUAAUAAUUGCAUUUUCCUUUUGUUAUUAUUAUUUUACUAGUCUUUUCUAAUCAAUUUAAUAGAAAAAAGCUUGGAAUUUUCUGCCUCUUUUAUCUUCAUUUGUAUCUCUAGAAUUAAGGUAAGAUAAAAAAAAUGAUCAAAAGAGAARAUCGAUGGUAUAAAUUGAAAUCUUUGGAGUUUGUAAUUUUGUAGAUAGUGGGGGCGGAUGUAGCCAAGUGGAUAAAGGCAG
rnacentral:misc_RNA from 1 species